GGCGAUAGCUCAGUUGGUAAAGCGUCGGUCUCAUAACCAUAGAAUCGCAGGUUCAAU
rnacentral:tRNA from 1 species